UACCUCUUAUAGAAAGAUCUUCAUCCCAGUGCAGAGCCACCUCACAUGGCCCUGAGGAUUAAAGGACCAGCCAACCCUUCAUGUCUACUCCCAAAUGAAAAUGACCAGGUUUUGAACAGACCAAGCUCUGAGUGGUGGCCCAGGUGCCUCUAGGCAUACCAGAAAGACAUCUUGCUUGAACUACCAAGGUUCUGUGCUUUUAGGAGACACUGGAUUAGGAGCAAGGCGCCUCAAACAGACACUUCCUUCUCUCUCUGGGCACCGUCAAAACCUCCAAAUAAGCUGGCAACUGCAAAUGAAUUUCAAGCAUUUAACAAAGUGGGGUUGAACAUCACUUCACUCUGGUUUGCCGCGGAAGCCUUAAUAUUAAGGAAGCUAGAUAUGCCAGAAAUAUACCCAGAGAAAGGAAGAUACGAGAUCCAUGCAACUAAAGAGAGAAAGAAGCAACGAUCAUUCCCAAAUGUUGGCCAAGAGACAGCAUAAGGCGACAGGUGCACUGGGCAGGACACAGGCUGGAAGUGCUCAGGGGUUAUCUUGUGCAUUUCCUGGCUGUGCCCCACAGCGCACACACAAUACAAGCAGUGCCUUCCUUGUAUUCGUUGAUCAGAUAAACCAAGAAGAACCAUCAGGACUUAAAGACAUGGAGCACAGAAACUGGGAGAGAAGGUCACAUGUUGGUAGAUGCCAGCCUCCACUGUAGUAAGUCCUGCUGGGUACCCCAAAGUGGGCCCUGGGAAGCUCAGGCCAGCAUGAGGUCUUGGACCCUGGAGUUGAUGAUCAGAAAAUUAUCAACUCCUGGAAAAAGCAAAGGACCUGAAGACCAUCUCAGUUACAGUUCUCCUUCUAGCAAUGAGAAAAAUUUACGCUUUAGAAUCUUGCCUGUCUAGUUCUACAUCCAUUUAACAUAUCUGCUUUUGAUGGACUCCCAGAUAAAUGCAUGAAACGUAAAUAUAAA